AUCUAGCUGACGAGUCCCAAGCGGGACAAAGCACGCGUCCUGGAU
rfam:Schistosoma haematobium scaffold773_7, whole genome shotgun sequence.